UGACGAGUGGCGCACGGGUGCGUAACGCGUAUACAAUCUACCUUUAACUGAGGGAUAGCCCAGAGAAAUUUGGAUUAAUACCUCAUAGUAUUAUAUUAAGGCAUCUUUUUAUAAUUAAAACUCCGGUGGUUAAAGAUGAGUAUGCGUCCUAUUAGCUAGUUGGUAAGGUAAAAGCUUACCAAGGCUACGAUAGGUAGGGGGCCUGAAAGGGUGAUCCCCCACACUGGUACUGAGACACGGACCAGACUCCUACGGGAGGCAGCUAGUGAGGAAUAUUGCACAAUGGAGGAAACUCUGAUGCUAGCCAUGCCGCGUGCUAGGAUGAAUGCCCUAUGGGUUGUAAACUGCUUUUAUACAAGAAGAAACAUCGGUACGUGUACCGACUUGACGGUAUUGU
rnacentral:rRNA from 1 species